CGCAUAUUUUGCCCAGGCGGAGCUCGACCGCCGGUCCAGGACAUGAUCGCCUUCAUCGAAGAGAACCGUGAAGCCAUCGGGGUCGAGCCGAUCUGCAGGCACCUGCCGAUUGCCCCA
rfam:Silicibacter lacuscaerulensis ITI-1157 ctg_1113211289261, whole genome shotgun sequence.